rnacentral:tRNA from 1 species
GCCCCGGUAGCUCAGUUGGCAGAGCGAACGGCUGUUAACCGUUAGGUCGCUGGUUCAAGUCCAGUCCGGGGCG